rnacentral:rRNA from 1 species
CAGCAGCCGCGGGAAUACGAAGGGGGCUAGCGUUGCUCGGAAUCACUGGGCGUAAAGGGUGCGUAGGCGGGUUUUUAAGUCAGGGGUGAAAUCCUGGAGCUCAACUCCAGAACUGCACUUGAUACUGGGAAUCUUGAGUAUGGGAGAGGUGAGUGGAACUGCGAGUGUAGAGGUGAAAUUCGUAGAUAUUCGCAAGAACACCAGUGGCGAAGGCGGCUCACUGGCCCAUAACUGACGCUGAGGCACGAAAGCGUGGGGAGUAAGCAGGAUUAGAUACCCCUGUAGUCCCUGUCUCUUAUAC